CAAGAACGAACGCUGGCGGCAUGCCUAACACAUGCAAGUCGAACGAGACCUUCGGGUCUAGUGGCGCACGGGUGCGUAACGCGUGGGAAUCUGCCCUUUGCUUCGGAAUAACAGUUAGAAAUGACUGCUAAUACCGGAUGAUGUCUUCGGACCAAAGAUUUAUCGGCAAAGGAUGAGCCCGCGUAGGAUUAGGUAGUUGGUGGGGUAAAGGCCUACCAAGCCGACGAUCCUUAGCUGGUCUGAGAGGAUGAUCAGCCACACUGGGACUGAGACACGGCCCAGACUCCUACGGGAGGCAGCAGUGGGGAAUAUUGGACAAUGGGCGAAAGCCUGAUCCAGCAAUGCCGCGUGAGUGAUGAAGGCCUUCGGGUCGUAAAGCUCUUUUACCAGGGAUGAUAAUGACAGUACCUGGAGAAUAAGCUCCGGCUAACUCCGUG
rnacentral:rRNA from 1 species